ACCGUCUUCGUUUUCUAGUGAAAUAUUCGUGAAAAUCUCUCUCAGUUUAUUAUGGAGUGAUGCGAAAAUAAUAAUUUAAGGCAUUUAUAAGCCUCUAUUUCCCGUAAAAAGUGUGGCUCGUCAAAGAUUUUCACAAUGUCAUCAAUUAAAUUUGGUGCUGUGUUUGCCAGAAGAUUCAUUGGCAAUGGGCAGUGUGUCCAGAGAAUGCCCAAUUUUGCACCUAUCUGUGCUUUUCGAUACCCCAAGAAUCAAGUGAUGGGGGAACAAAUUGUGCGAGAGUACAAGAAUUUUGGUCAUAAACCCCAGGAAACGCCACGAUUUACGAAAAUUUUCUACUUUAUCGUUGGAAUGGGGCUUUUUGCCACUACUCUCAACUACAAAGGGAUUUAUAAAAUGCUUUUCCCGAAAGUCGAUGCUGAUUCCGGCGUGGGAGGUACUACCAAGGAAGAGAGUGAGGAAAGUGACUCAGAAGUAUCGGAAAGUGACGACGAUGGGAAGAGCCCGGAGAAGAAGAAAAAGGAAAAAAUCGGCUUUCGUGAUAGAAAGAUAAUCGAGUAUGAGAAUCGUAUCAGGCAAUUUUCCACCCCGGACAAGGUUUUCCGAUACUUUGCCACUGUUCAGGUGCCCCUUGGUGGACAUGGAGAAUACGAGGUGUUUAUGACUCCAAUUGAUUUCCUAACUAGCAUGACGCCAGGAGUUAAGCAACCCGAGGGUCUCGGUCUCGAUCAAUACCGUCGAUAUGAUCCAAAGUCCGUCACGGAACGCCUUGAUCUGUCGCUGGAACAGACAUCGAUCUUCUACAAAUUGGGAUCAUACGGAUUAAUUUCCUUCUCGGACUAUAUCUUCCUUCUGACUGUGCUAUCAACUUCCAGGAGACAUUUUGAGAUUGCCUUCCAAAUGUUUGACCUCAAUGGGGAUGGGGAUGUUGAUUGCGAAGAGUUUGAAAAGGUGGCUACACUCAUAAGACAACAAACAAGCAUUGGAAAUCGCCAUAGAGAUCAUGCAAAUACCGGAAAUACCUUCAAGGGUGUUAAUUCAGCUUUAACCACGUUCUUCUUUGGGCCAAAGAUGGAUCAAAAGUUAACUAUUGAGAGAUUCUUAGAGUUCCAGAAGCAACUUCAGCGUGAGAUUCUAACGCUUGAAUUCACGAGGAAGAAACCGGAUGAGAAUGGAAAAAUUAGUGAGAUUGAAUUUGCAGAACUGAUGCUGGCUUAUGCGGGAUAUACGCAAAAGAAGAAGGCUAAGAAGAUGAAGUUGGUUAAGAAACGGUAUAAGGAUGAAGGACAGGGUAUAUCAAAGGAUGAUUACCUGGAUUUCUUCCAUUUUCUCAAUAAUAUUAAUGACGUGGAUACAGCUCUAACUUUUUACCAUAUUGCCGGAGCUGCCAUUGAUCAAUCUACGCUGAAGCACGUAGCGAGAACUGUAGCGCAUGUGGAGCUCUCUGAUCACGUCAUUGAUGUCGUCUUCACAAUCUUCGAUGAAAAUCUUGAUGGUCAACUGAGCAAUCGAGAGUUCAUUGGUGUGAUGAAGAAUCGUCUCCAGCGGGGUCUUGAGAAGCCCAAAGAUACUGGAUUCGUUAAAUUUAUGUACUCCAUACUAAAAUGCGCCAAAGAUACGAGACCUUCCUUCCUGGAGGUUUAGCUGCAACUUUUCUCGAUCCUCUCACUUCCAUUUAAUCUCUUGCUAUGCCAUUGACCUAAUAAUUGCAAAAAUUGGACUGUUUCACAUUUUCUUCUUCUCUAUAAUAAAGAAAGGCGGUUUUCACCAACGAC